GAAUGGGGCCAACCCAAGUCUAAGAUCACUCAUCUUAUUUUCUGCACAACCUCUGGUGUCGACAUGCCUGGUUGCGACUACCAGCUCACCAAGCUCCUUGGCCUCCGUCCUUCUGUCAAGCGAUUCAUGAUGUAUCAGCAGGGCUGCUUUGCUGGUGGGACAGUCCUCCGUCUAGCCAAAGACUUGGCUGAGAACAAUAAGGGUGCCCGUGUUCUUGUUGUAUGCU
rnacentral:misc_RNA from 1 species